GGGCGGGUGGCGAAACCGGCAAACGCGGCGGACUUAAAAUCCGCUGGGCCACAGGGCCCUUGUGGGUUCGAUCCCCACCCCGCCCACCA
rnacentral:tRNA from 2 species